UACGUAGGGGGCAAGCGUUGUCCGGAUUUAUUGGGCGUAAAGAGCGUGUAGGCGGCCAGGUAGGUCCGUUGUGAAAACUGGAGGCUUAACCUCCAGCGGUCAUGGAAACCUCUGGCUAGAGUCCGGAAGAGGAGAGUGGAAUUCCUGGUGUAGCGGUGAAAUGCGCAGAUAUCAGGAAGAACACCCGUGGCGAAGGCGGCUCUCUGGGACGGUACUGACGCUGAGACGCGAAAGCGUGGGGGAGCGAACAGG
rnacentral:rRNA from 1 species